AAUACAAUUAGAUUAUGAUCAGAUAUAGUUAUGGGAGAGUUAUUUUACCUCCCACUAAUUUUCUCCCACAGGCUAAUUCAAUAUAAAUAGUAAAAAGUAAUAAUAAAAUAUGUUACAAAAUUCAUCAGCUCCCCAAAAUUAAUUAAUUAAUUAUGUCACAGUAAUUUCCCAACGAUAUCGCUCCCAGCCAUGCUGGCGAUGCGAUGAUCUAACCUACUCUAACCUAUUCUAAACCCAUUCUGACUCUCAGUCGAUUUGCGCUGGCUUAUAUUGGCAUCGGGCUCGAUUGUCGUGACGUCACGACAAAGUGAAAAUACCCGCCAUGCUUGUUAGUUGAUAUGCUGCCAUGCCGAUCGAACCGACGAAAGGAAACACGCACCCUAGGGCGCGGAUAAUUACCGAGGGAAACAUUCAUAAUACUUAUCGCUGAUGGACUUCGUAAGCAUAAACAAAACAAUCAUGAACAUUUUAAGUGUGACUUGGGAGUGCAUUAUAUCGAGGAAUUUCGGGCGUCACUAAUUACCGACCUCGUCCCAAUUUUACACUUGGUAAAUAUACAAUUGUUAAUGGAAUUAAACAUACAAUUAAUUAAACAUUAAUUUGUCGUUUUAUAGUCCAGUAUAUCAUAGGGGGUUUUUGUAUAACUUGUACUCUGUAUUUCCACAGAAAAUGUUACUCAUAGUAACGGGAAUAAUUACGGAACCGUAACACGGCACCCUCCCAUGAAGAACAUUCGUCCUCGAAUGGUUUUAUACUUCAGUUAGGGAAUAUUUAAAGAAUAUUUUCACGAUUUAUCCACAGGAGGCUCUAUCUGUCAGCUUUGGCUUGUCCUUUUUUAUGGUUCCUGGUCCUUGAUUCGUCUACGGAUGGCUUUAUCAGGUCUACUCUGCCGAGUACUAAAUCUACUGGGAGUGUGACUGAUCGCCCAAAUACCAUUUCACAAGGGCUUACCCCUGUGGCCUCAUGAGAAGAUGAUCGAUAUGCCAACAUGAGGAUGGCAUCAACCCAUUUGGUGAAGUAAUCUCCCACAACUAGAAGAUAAGAAUUUUUCCUGUGAGUCAUUGGUAAAGGACCUAAUAUAUCCACCGCCCAUCUUUCCAUUGGAGCACCAACCAGGGUUUAUCCCAGUGUUUGGAGAGUUUCCCUGAGACCUUGUAGUAACAGCACAGUUUCCAGAACCACUGGGAGCUGAUGUUUGACUUGACAAAGAUUCACCUUGACAGAUUUCCUCAUGGGAUAAAUUUUCUACUUCUACCGGGACUCUUGGAUUGAAAACAAUCUCUCCCGAAUCUUCUAAAUGACUAUUAUCCCUUGACAUUUUUGCUUUUGGGAGUACUUAUUUAUUCUAUGAUAUAAAAAAUUUACUUGUUGAAUUAAUUGUCUUAUGUCCAAUCAGAUAAUGGGAAUGAAAAUUUAUGAAUCCCACUUCUGACACCAAUGUUGCCGUUCAGGGGUUUUCUCCCUUGAGACAACUUGUGGGUCUCCCAAUUCUGUAUACUGGACAAAAGAACUAUGAGUCAGGAUUAAAGUUUAUAAAAAUUUAUUAUUGCUUGUUGUAUUUAAUUUGCACAAUCUCUUUGAAUAAUUAUCCCUAUUUCU